rnacentral:misc_RNA from 1 species
CCAGCAAGCUUUCAAAGAGAAGAACAGACACAUGGAUAUGAGCAUCGCUCGUUCGUUGCUUGCCAAUCAAUAGGGCCCGCAAUCCACAUUGGCACCUGAGGCGGCCACACUUAUGCCUGAGCGGUUUUGGAGCAAGAAGAUAACGGGAGUGCACAUCACAUUGAUGUCGUACAACUGCGUCUUGGCGAUGCCGACCUUGAACCGGGCCACGGCGGUGACCGUCACGGUGAAAGCAGAGCUAUUGACGUCGGCGCCGUUGAUGAAGGCCAUGGCCAUCGAUCCCCGAGACACCGACACUGUAGCGUCGACAGUCGCCACGCUCCCACGGGUCUGCCACCCAGCCAUGAGCGACGUCGCGUUCUUCUUCAGGUCGGCCUUGGUCCAGAUCGACGCCGGGGUCACCACCGUGCUGUUGAGCACGUCGACGAGGAUGGUGUUGUACCACACUGCCGCGCGCUGGCUGGUGUUGUUGGCGGCGAGGGUGAAGGGCUCAGCAGGACGGAGAAGACGGUGACGACGACCGCCACGGCGAGGAUCGCCAUCAGAGCUGCCAGGAUGUAGUGUUUGAGAUUCAGGGCCUUCAGGCCAGUCCGCGGCGGAGCCAUGCGUAUAUGGGUGUGGCAGCAGCAGCAGCUCUAGCCAGAGCGUAUGGUGGUUCAAACUAGUGUGCGAGUACUGCCUGCUGCCACCAGUUUAUACCGUGCAUGCCACUAUAAUUUUAGUAUGCAAAUUAUUUGUGGUCACAAUGACCGGGGGAAAGAGCCCUCCCCCCGCCCCCGAACCAGAUACCACCAAAUCACCCCAAUUUCCAAAUCCACAAAAAUCUGCGCAGAUUCACGCGAUUCAACCCUCAGAUCCGAAAACUCCAUCUCUCGAUCUACAUCCCAAGGGGCUUUUCUCUGGCGGUCGUGGGGAUUUGGAGGCCGGUCAGGCGGAGAAGACUAUCGACUCCUCCACGCUGGUAAGUCCGCGCAAGAUCAAUCCGAAGUUGCAGGGGCGUGCCAGCGAGGUCCUCGAGUGUCUAGCUAAGGAGGUGCUCCUGCACGGCCAUGGAUCUCCUCUACCGCAGCAGGGCCAGCCGGGAGCGGCUGAACCUUACUUUUACUGCAAAGACAGAGCCAAUCCAGGAGAGCAUAGAGAUUUCAAUGCAAGCAGUAAUGGAGACGGAGUUGCAGAGCAAGCUUCAAGUGAAGAUCCACAGAAGACGAUUUUACAGAAGAGAAUCCCAUCCUCUGAGAAGAUGAAAUGGACAUUUGACAGCGCCCCGUCUGGUUUCAAUGCCGUUCAGGUCCGAAGCGCGUUGAAGACCCCAUCCCGGGAGUCCGGUGAGGUGAACCUUUUUGACCCGACGGGCAGUGGGCAGUACCGCGACAGCCGACCCUUUGCAGGCAAAUUAUUAAUUUCUUCGGCAGAGGAGGAGGGUGAGGGCUGGACUGUAGUCAAACCUCGAUUCUGGUGGCGCAGGAAGAACAACAACCUGGGGGCCAAUUUAAUCCGCAAAGAAGAUGAAUUUAAUGGGGCCAGUUUCUUCAAGAAGAAAUUUCAGGGUAAAUGCUACAAUUGCUUCUCGGCAGAGCACUAUUCUUUCCGUUGUUGGGCUCCCCCCAGAUGCUGGUCAUGCUUCCGAUCCGGACAUAAGGCUGGGAGCUGCCCUGACAAAAUCCAUUUAGUGAAGUCCAAUUCAAAGCGCAACCACCAAGAAUCGCUGAAGCAUUCAUUCAAGCUGAAUCACUGCCAUGGAGCCAACGCCAGCAUCCACUCCAUCCAACAGCAUAGACCCAGCUCCAAAGCUCUUCAAAAGGGACAGGAACAGCACCAAAGACAACCUCACAACCUCCUUCCCAAACUCAGCAGCAAGUCAUACCUUGAAGCCGCUCAAGGAAUUCAAGACAUGGCGGCCCGCUACCCCGGCGACCCAAGAGCAAGACCGACCAGAGCGUUCUGUGCGAUUUCAGCAACAGGCAACAUCCGACGCCGCAGAGAUGAGCUCAUCAACAAGGCUGUGGUCUGCUCAUAUGAUGGUAACAGCCAUGAAGUUGAUACCCUUUUUGCGGGAGACAUGCUUAGGGAGAAGUUCGACCUUCGCCAUGGUCAGUUCCAACUUGUCAAGCACUUUCCUGAGCAAUUUUUCAUUAUUUUCUCUGACCCAAGAAACAAGCGGUGGGCAUUAGAUAGAAGAGAUGUCUCGUACCAUGGUCGUGUUUUCCAUUUUGGUGACUGGACAGAGGAGAACUAUGCAAGAAGGACAAACUGGGAGUUCAGAGUGAAGGUGCGGGUUGAGGGGAUCCCAGUUCACUGCUGGGGAGAAGAGGUGGCUGCAAGGGCAUUGGGCAAGAGUUGUGCCAUUCAUUUCGUGCAGGAGCGCACAAGGCGCAGGGAGCGCACUAGGUCCUUCGACCUUUGGGCCUGGUGCUCUGACCCGUGUGAGAUUCCGAAGGAAGUUUGUCUCACGGUGACUGAACCUGACAGGGAGUUGCCAACAACCGGCAUCCCCCUGCCACUUGCUGGAGCUCAGCAUGAUGAACCUACUGAUUUGAAGAAAGGCCAUGUGUACAACUUGCGCAACCACAUUGAAGUAGUUGAAGACCUCUCAUUCUACCGGGGGAGGGAUGCCAGGGGAGGUCCCCCUAAUCGCAAGUCUCGCAGGGAGUUUGUUUGGAGUUAUGGAGCUCCAGAUUCCGUGGGAGAGAAGCGUGAUCGAGCUGAAGAAUCCAGAGGCAGGGAGGUCAUUCGUCGUGACUGGAGAGAUGAUGAUGAUGAUGACCUUCGCCGGGAUCGUCGCCACGGCACUCGUCGUCACCGCAGCCUCUCUGGCUGGGUGCGUCACUCUCGCUGUCGUGGAGGACUGGAAGACUGCAUCAGCUCCACCGGAAGGCAUAGGCCUUCCACUCCCUUCCGUCGUCGGGGGGUGGAGCUGGCGACUACACCUUGUUAGGUCCCCAAGGCGGCUUUCAAGAAGUCUGUAUCCUUUGCUGACCCCCUGGUUACGGCCAGUUGGCCACUGGAUGCGUCUCCUGCUUCAGGGAAGUUCAAACGUGGCGCCGCAACUGCGGACACAAACAUCCAGGCUGCUGUUUCAUUGAAGUUCGCAAACCAGUUUGCACGACCUCUCACUAAAGAUCAGAUGGAGGCAAUCAUGGAGUUGGUAAAUCAGGGAGGAAAAAAGGUAGGAGGUCCAAGGCGUGGAUGCAAGGUGGCUCCUGUGAAGGUUCCAGCAAUCAAAAUUAUGCAGAAGAUCUGAUGGGAAGUGUUACAGCCAUAGUGGUGCUCAACCACCAUGUUAGUGUCUGCAUUUUCUCUCUCUAUUGUCAGUAAGGGGGUCGGUCAAGUCAUGUUGGAAGUCUUAGAUUGCUGUGGUGUUGUAAGGGGUCAGCGGAACCUAGUCCCAGUGUCUUCUAUGUCGUUGUAUCUUGUUGUUGUUAGUCUG